UGGGAGAGACAAGUGUAACUUUAUUGAAUAUUUUGUCCACACAGGUAACAGGUAAAGGUAGAUUUAACAGAUUAACACACGUUUUGCCUAAUUGUCUUUCAAUUUUUUUAAAAUGUACUUUACAGAGUAAAAUGUGACAAUUUAUACCUAUGCAGUGAGAAAAAGAAAAUAGGAACAACAACACUUCGUAUAAGAGCAGGUUCAAUGUCGAUGGAUUUACAUUUUUCCUACAAUCUGUCGGUCCCUAAACAGACCUGCCUCGUUGCGCACCGUCGUCUGUUUGACCGCGGAGACGGACAGCAGCGGGCGAUGACGUCACAGUUGAGUCCCGCUGAGCGCGGAGAAAGUGAAGUACUGAACUUAAAGGUAAACCAGCAUCCACUCCAGCGGUUGAUCCGACUGAGCUUCGGGUCAAAAUGUGGGACAGUCAGUUGUCUGAAAACGUGUCUCGGUGAGUGACGUCAUACUUUUUAUUUACAUCUGUGUUUGUGCAGUUUGUGGAUAAUAGUCCUCAUCUAUGGUACAGAAACAGUAUCUUCUGUGUAACUGUUAGGCUUCAUGACUGGCCAGCAGUUAAAUUAUCCCCCAUUUUGCAGUGAUCUCCAGGAUUCUCUAAACGCCUGUGUUUACUUGUUGUAGCAGCUUUGUUGCUUUUGUUCUGUCUUUUCAAUGGAUCCAUUUCUGGUUUAUGACAUUAUAAACACACCACAGUCUCCCUGUUGACCUUUAAAAUGGAAAUUUUUUAAGUAGAGUAUAAUGCAGCAAUAGGCAGCCAUUAUGUGUGCUGCCAACUGUGGGCAGGGUUUUAUUCUAGCCAAAUUCAUUUAAAGGACUUUUCCUGAUAAAAGCACCUUGAACUAGAGAUAGUGAACGCAGCAGCGGAAUCCUGUAGCGCAGUAGUGGAUUAAACCUCCGGACUCCCGUCGCCCAGUGGCACGUGCCACUGGCAUGUCCCUGUUAUAGAACCGUGGCAAAAUGUUUAUCGCGUACAAUUUUAUAAUUUUUAUAUUCCUAUUUUGCACUUUAGUAUGUUCUUGCUUGAGUUCUUUGAACGUGUGUAUUGUGCUCUACUUUUUAAAUUCUGCAGCUCUAGACUUGUUGACAUUUUCAGUGACUUAUUUAAAUAUUUGGAAUUAUAUUAUGUUAUACAACAGCAUGUGUUGCAAACUAUAGUGAUAUCAUAAUAUUGAUGAAUAUUGACUGAAGCUACAUGAUGGAAGUACAUGGAAGUAAUAACGUUAUGGAAGGUCUCAUUGAUUGUGAGUCAGGUCAUAGACAUUAAUUUAAGAUGUAUCCGAUAUAAUGCUGCUCAUUACAUUGUAGAAUCGGCUUGGGAAAAACUGUGCCGGGGGUAAUGUGAGGUCAGUGAAUUUCAUUAACCAGUAGAAAGAAGAGUAAAAAUGUCCAACACAAACCACUGUAAUAGUUCUAAUAGAAGGGUCAGAGGUCAGUCAAAGUG
rnacentral:lncRNA from 1 species